UUGAGCGAUUUACUUCGGUAAAGAGCGGCGGACGGGUGAGUAACGCGUGGGUAACCUACCCUGUACACACGGAUAACAUACCGAAAGGUAUGCUAAUACGGGAUAACAUAUUUGGGAGGCAUCUCUUGAAUAUCAAAGGUGAGCCAGUACAGGAUGGACCCGCGUCUGAUUAGCUAGUUGGUAAGGUAACGGCUUACCAAGGCGACGAUCAGUAGCCGACCUGAGAGGGUGAUCGGCCACAU
rnacentral:rRNA from 1 species